CCCUCAAUUCAGUGCAAAAAUAAUGGCCGUCUGGUGCGUUGAUUGUUGUGAUGGUGAGAUGACAAACAAUUCUCUUUCUCAGUUUUUUGACAACUGCAGCUGAAGUUUUCGUGUUCCCUGAGUGUUCUUGGCAUUGAGAGAUGGAAUGGUCCCAUUCAACAUUACAACCUGUGUCUUUCAUUCUCCCAGGAAUUUUUAUUUUCAAGAAUCAUAUCCUAAAGAGUAGUCUCCAGUUCAACAGCAGCUGCCGAUAAUGGUCCUGGGAACUUACUCGCCCGUUUAGUGCGUCGAUUCGCCAAUUAUUUGUUUGGCCGAUUGCAUCGCUUCGGACUCCAACAUCACUGCAAUGAACCGAAAUUGUGGCGCUCUUUUGUUGCCGGAGUGACAAAACAUAUCCUGCUGGUUGAGGAUCGUGAAUCGAAUCAUUCGAUCUGCUGAAGAAUAUCUCGGUUCUCUCGAAUGACCCAGCGCAACAACUCACAGAUUUCGUCCAGGAUCAACUCGCUUAUCCAAUCCCGCCAUUUUGGGAUCCAGCGAAGAAAAAUUUGACUUCCCAGCUGAAUUAAUGUCGUACCAAAUGAGAUCGUUGUCGACCAUUCGACAUCAGGUGCUACUGUUCCAAUCGAUCUGUCGGACAGUAUUCCGGCUUAAAAGAUUCAUUUCUCUUUGUUAUUGUUUGAAAUUUCCGUGAACUUAUUUGUUAUUUUUGUUUUUGUUUUUUUUUUGUCUGCUCUUCGUCUUGUUGUGAAGCGCCUAGAGUAGCAUAUCUGAGAAAGCGUCGGACAGUUGGCGUAUUGGCCCAGCCGAAGCCGCUGGAGAAAGUGAGAUUGGCGGCGAUCGUGCGUCCAAGGCCAGUUUUAGUGAUGGUAAGUCGGAUAACGCUGCCGUUAUUGUUGUCAUAAAAGGGGAGAUUUGUGACUCCUGCCCCUCCCCCCCCCCUGUUAAUUUCGUCAUCAGAAACAAAAAUGAUUUCCAUUCAGGGUUCGCCAUCUCUCAUACCGGUCAGUUACAGGCUUACAGCAGUAGUCAAUGGCUUACAACGAAUUGUUUAUAUCAAGGUUUCUCUUUUCUUUUAAAUGCGACGAUGCAUUAAUGUUAGUAGUUGUGUGAUUAAGAGUUAAUUGGAGAAGUAUUGGGUUAGUACAUGCAUGUUUUUAAAUGAUAACAGACAUGGGGAACAGUGAGAAACAAUAUGGAGGAGUAGAUAACGGCCCCGGGGAUUUUCUUUAUUUUUUAUAAACAAUUGGGGCCACAGCCAUUAAACAAAGGUCACACAUUGGAUUGUUAUCAUGAAAUCCUUAUGGGUUGGUUGCGAAUGUUGUGAAAUGUUUCAAUUUUGAAAACAUGGCAGUAGCUUAUUGGUUACAGCUUAAAACUGUUACGAUCGAGUUCCAUGUUCGAAUUUAGUUGAAGAAAGUCCAGGGUAAGUUCAAGGCCUGUUUAAAGAGAGUAGGAGCAGACAUCGUCCAUAAAAAUAAUUUUAGUUGAAUCGAUUUAUGACGUGUUAUUCACUCCCAUGAGCGUGAUUGCAUUUGUUGUUUAAAUGUUUAAUUAGCUACAGUACCAUAACAACAAAUGCGUAGCAGAGAAGAAGUUAUUGUGAGAGUGUUUAGUGAUUGAACCCUAGUAGUGUUAGUAGUUGUGGGUGGCUAGUUUUUAGUGUUUCAUUCUACGCGAGUCACGUAACUAUUUCAGUCCUCUUCAUUCUCUAGUGUGGUGUUGGCAAUAGAAUACGUGUGCCGGACUUAAGUCUGGGCUUUCUUGUGGGUAGUGGGAUUCGUAGGAUUUCAUCUUCUGCUUGUUAAGUUCGUUUUAGUCCCUGAUGCGAUGAACUUUUUUGUUUUUAUAAGGCAGCAGAAAUCAAUAAAUGUGUAAUUAAUAAUAAUUAGUGCCUUGUUUGUGUUUGUUUUUACUUUUCGGUUGAGUGCGUGAGUGUUGCAGGAUGCAGACAUUGAAGAUUGAACACCGUUUGGAGUUUAGUGUUUGCAGUGUUUGGCUGUUGGUGAUGUCGGUUUCUUAAUCAUGAUUAUUUAGUGAAGAGAAUAUUACUCUGAGCCCUGAGGAAACGUGAAAGUCGUGCAGCCUACCGUCAACUAUUUUGUUCGAACUCAUUGUAUUCUAACUGAAUGUGCCAUCGAAAUGAUACAGGAUUCAUCUUAAUUAUCGGCUGUUUCUAUUGGACUUGCUAGAUCACCAACCACAGCAUGGACCAAUCUCUCAUUAGAUCUUCUAGAGAACCUUGGAUAACUGAUUGGUGGUUUCAUGUGUUUAUAAAUUCAAGGCAUGACAGACUUUAAUGAGAAAUCAUGUCCUUUCAAGAAAAAGACAAGGACUAUACAGUCAACAAGGUCUCUUGUUUGCUAACCGGUGGCUGCUACCCUUGAAGCUUGAUUCUCCCUUUUUACUUCCUUGCACAGGCCCUCUUGAUUUGAGACUGCUUACAGGGUAAUCCUUCGCUACUUGUCAUGGACUUCAUCCAGUGGUGCCUGCCUGCCUACCUGGUGAAAAUCAAUGAGAGAAUGCUGUGAUUCAAGAGAAUGCUUUUAAAUUGUGUAGUUGUUAGAUUAAAUUACAAGUGCAUAUCUGGGCUCCCUUCUUUUCUGUGGCCCCGUUUCCCUAACUAACCACUAACCAACGCCCGCCGGUGGUC